GGAUGUGAGGAUGAUCUGGCUGCAACAUCUGUCACCCCAUUGACCGCCAGGAUUGAUUUGGCUGAUCUGGCUGGCUAGGUGGGUGUCCCCUUUCUUCCUCACAGCUCCAUGUGUGUCCUCCUGGAAACUGUGUUCUUGGUUGAAGAGAAUGACCUUCCCCGAAUAGAGGAGGACCAGUCUUUGGUCAAGGGUAUCGGAGUAGCUGUGCUCCCCUGCUGGAAUUUCCAAACAUUCUCUCAAGGUCCAAAUACCUUUUGCAAGGUCACACUGUGCUGAUGUGUUAUAUCUCAAAGAAGCGAAUUCAGAAGUACUCUGUGGCUU
rnacentral:snRNA from 1 species